AAAGUCGUAUGGGCUUCCAACCUA
rnacentral:siRNA from 1 species